GAUGAAGAACGCAGCGAAAUGCGAUAAGUAAUGUGAAUUGCAGAAUUCAGUGAAUCAUCGAAUCUUUGAACGCACCUUGCGCUCCUUGGUAUUCCUUGGAGCAUGCCUGUUUGAGUAUCAUGAAAUCUUCAAAGUCAAACCUUUUGUUAAUUCAAUUGGUUCUGCUUUGGUAUUGGAGGAUUAUUGCAGCUUCACACCUGCUCCUCUUUGUGCAUUAGCUGGAUCUCAGUGUUAUGCUUGGUUCCACUCAGCGUGAUAAGUUAUCUAUCGCUGAGGACACCCUGUUAAAAAGGGGUGGCCAAGGUAAAUGCAGAUGAACCGCUUCUAAUAGUCCAUUGACUUGGACAAUAUCUAAUUUAUGAUCUGAUCUCAAAUCAGGUAGGACUACCCGCUGAACUUAAGCAUAUCAAUAAGCGGAGA
rnacentral:misc_RNA from 1 species